GCUGCGGGCAGGGCAGAAGGGGCUGGAGAGGCUGCUCUGAGUGCCCUACAAGUUCCCGUCCUGACCCUGCCAGUUUAGAGGGACGCCCCCCUGCCUCUCCACCCACGCUUCCACCCGGACCGCAGCCCCACCAACGGAGGGCCACUCUACAAGCAUGGAACCACAACCUAUCUGAUCUUUGUUCAAAUUCCUUCUCCUUCCACACUUACUGUAGAAUUCCAAGAAUGAAGAAUUAUUCCCAGUCAUGCAAGGUUGAAGAGACACUUCUCUGCUGAUGGGAGGAUCAACUGUUUCCAUAUUUUUUGGAAAGCAGUUUGACAGAAUGUAUGAAAAGUAAAAAUCUGUUUCAUUAAUCCCUUCCCAGAACCUAUCCUCAAUUUAAGAAUUGGAAACAUACGUGCACACUGAUUGUAGUGGUGAAAAAUGGGAAAACACCUAAACGUUCCUCAGUGCAGAAAAGGUUAAAUAAAUUGUACAUUCAAAAGAACGUCAUGUAGCCCUUCAAAUCGGCCUCAUCUCUCCAAUGGCAUAAGAAAGGUGUAUAAUAUAGUACUGUCUGCAAAGCAUGCCAGAGCCGUUUUGUCUGGAGGGAUUUCCGUCAGUAUGCGGGGCCAUUUCCUCAUGGUGGGAGUACAGGCAAAUCUCACUUUGAUCAUUAUAAAAACCAUAAGCUAAAAGGAGGAUAUUUUUUGGCGGGGUGGGAGAGCCCACUGAGUCCCGCCCACUCCAUUUACAUGUUUCAGAAAGCCUUCUCACUUGCUGCUUCUACUCUCUCCAUCUUCAUUUUUUUUUUUCCUUAGCACGUUUUCUCUACUACUGGAGGAAAAUAUUAACAGACAUCAUACAUGCUCAUAACAAACUAAAGAUACAUAAUUAGGAUACUACUAUAGACCGUUCCUCAGUGACUCUUUCUCACUUGCCAACACUUUAUCCUCCUGGCUCUGGAUGCCCAGAUGACCACACCAUAAAUUCUCCCAACUGAGGCACAUUUAUAUUGCUUUCACAUUUUCUCCACAGUAACCCAGCAACACCAGAAUAAACCUGUACACUUCCAUGCUGGUGCUUUUACUUCUAACCAGGUUUGGUUUCAAAGUGAUAGUGCCCAAUUAACUGCAAAACAUUUCCAAGUCAUGCUGCUU